UCUCAUGAAUGAGCAAAGAAAGUGGUUUCCCAAGACAGAAUCUACUCCUGGUGAAGAUGCUGUAAA
rnacentral:pre_miRNA from 1 species